AUGAAAUAAAUAAAUAAAGAAUGAUGGCAUGCAUACGUGCUGUGAAAGUGUUCUCAAGAAAAAACUAACCUCUUUCUCUUUCUCUUUUUCUUCUCUUUCUCUUCUCGUUUUUUUUUUUUUUUUUCGC
rnacentral:ribozyme from 14 species